CAGUCGCGUUGGCUGGAAAUCAACCUUACUUCUGUUGGGUGUACUUUCUAGUCGAUGGGUCAGCAUCAAUUUUAAUCAUUGGAUAAAGUCUUUGGGAAUGUGGCUUCUUCGGAAGUGUUAUAGCCUUUGGUCGCAUACAAUGGUUGGGAUUGAGGACUGCAACGAAUAUCCUUUGGGCUAUCCGUCUGGCCUCUGAAGUUGCUUGGGUGCUGAAAGCUUGCUUAUGGUUAUCUAAGUUAACGGUCAAUAGGUUAGAACGUGAUUACAUUCGUUAAGGAUGUUGGCGUUAAUGGCUUUAAACGACCCGUCUUGAAAC
rnacentral:rRNA from 1 species